rnacentral:rRNA from 1 species
UAGAAAUGACUGCUAAUACCGCAUAAGCGCACAGGACUGCAUGGUCCAGUGUGAAAAACUCCGGUGGUAUGAGAUGGACCCGCGUCUGAUUAGCUAGUUGGUGGGGUAACGGCCUACCAAGGCGACGAUCAGUAGCCGACCUGAGAGGGUGACCGGCCACAUUGGGACUGAGACACGGCCCAAACUCCUACGGGAGGCAGCAGUGGGGAAUAUUGCACAAUGGGGGAAACCCUGAUGCAGCGACGCCGCGUGAGUGAAGAAGUAUUUCGGUAUGUAAAGCUCUAUCAGCAGGGAAGAAAAUGACGGUACCUGACUAAGAAGCCCCGGCUAACUACGUGCCAGCAGCCGCGGUAAUACGUAGGGGGCAAGCGUUAUCCGGAUUUACUGGGUGUAAAGGGAGCGUAGACGGCGCGGCAAGUCUGAAGUGAAAGCCCGGGGCUUAACCCCGGGACUGCUUUGGAAACUGCCAUGCUGGAGUGCUGGAGAGGUAAGUGGAAUUCCUAGUGUAGCGGUGAAAUGCGUAGAUAUUAGGAGGAACACCAGUGGCGAAGGCGGCUUACUGGACAGUAACUGACGUUGAGGCUCGAAGGCGUGGGGAGCAAACAGGAUUAGAUACCCUGGUAGUCCACGCGGUAAACGAUGAAUACUAGGUGUCGGGGAGCAAAGCUUUUCGGUGCCGGCGCAAACGCAAUAAGU